GGCAAACUAUUUGCCAACGUUGAAAGAUUAAACAAGUAUCUCUGUGCAAACGGCAACAUGUUCGGGCCGGUUCGCGUUGCAUUCCUUUUGGUCGCUGCAAUCGUUGCGAUAACGAUCCACACGAUACCCGUUGCAGUGGCGUUGGCGCGCCCUUGGUGUGACUGUUCGGAACGCACAAGACUUCCAAGAUCACAGCGCUGUAAAAUGAUGUGCAGAAGAACUGGCUGACUAAUUUGAGUGCGAACCCCAAGAUGGCAGCAGUUCUUAAUUCGUCACAUAUAUGUAUUAAAUUCAAUUUGCUGUCAGUGAGAAAAUAAAUAAAAUUAACAGGAUUAACGAA